AUUCAUAACCCAACUUCUUGUAAACACUUUGUACUUGUAACUUUGUUCAAGUAAUACAUAACCAUCUUUGUUGUAGUAUUGCACUACAAAAUCAUACUUGUGAUCCUCACAAACAAAAACUUCCGUUGCUAUAUAUAACCAAACCAAACCUAUCCAAAAGGCUGAACUUAGAAGUAUUCUAAGUGCCGCACGAGAGUGAAACCGUUUGAUAUCCACCGCCGUAAUCCAAGGAGAAGGUAUGGCAGACGCAUGAGUAUGUAUUGUAUUGAAGGCGAACAGAGAGCAGCUAUAAAUUUUCUAGAAAAUGGAGGUUUACUUAAUCAAGAAGGCUCGGAUAUCGAUAGAGAUGAUUAGUAUAGCCAUCGGGGGGAUUCAGAUUCUAAUUGUUUUUUGUUGUAAAGAAUACAGCAAGGAAGGAAGGUAUAGAUAUGGUAGUUAGAUUAAAAAUGGUAAAAUCACGGAGGGCAAUUAAACAAUCAGCUUUCUAGUAGUGAGUAUUAAGGUACCCGCGUUGCGAAUACUUGCAUAAAUUUCAUUCAAUUGAUAGUUUUAUGGGUUUUGCGUUUUGAGUACAACCAAAAUGACCUUUUGACAAACUUAAGGUAAUCCAUAAAAACCUUAUGCAAUCCUUUUUGGAGUCGAGAUGGAAACUUCCAUUUUAGAAUCUAAAAUUCAAUCCAAGACCAGGUUUAAAAUUGAACAUGUAUGUUUGGUUGGAAGGGUCAAGUCGACCCACUACCUAGCUGCUGUCAGUUCAUAUUCAUUUGAAUUUAAUUUAAAUCUUGUAAUCCUCUAUAUAGUCAAAUAUUGUUCUAGUCUCCCUUGUUUAUCUCCAUUUAUUUUGUUGUCCAACCUCAUGGCUAAUAUCGUAAACAACCUCACCAUUGUUGCAACAGUAAAAUUGAAAUCCACAGACUAUUUAGGAUGGAAAACCUAAAUCGAGGCUCAACUACACGACUUUGAUAUCUACCGAUUUAUUGAUGGUACAAGGAUUAUGCACGACGAAUUGCUUUUCGGUGCCGUAGUCGGAAGUCUAUCUCCAAAGACUGUACCACUUGUCACUAACGCCAGUUCAUCUCAAGCUGGAAGCCUAGAAUAUUCUUGCAAAUACAUAAGCGUCUCCUUCCAGGGGCCAUAUGAUCAAACCACUACUACAUUGAUUAAAGACAUCGACCAAAACCCCGAACCAAUGGAUCACAGAUUAUAUGCAGAACAUCAAAACCGUGAUCGACGAACUCGCAAUUCCGCGCAGGAAGAUGGAUGAUGAUGUUAUCCUGAAUGGUCUUAUCCUGUUCACGCCGGAGAUAACUUGAUUUCUUUCAAUGAGCUUCACGAGAAGCUCAUAAAUCUUGAGCUUACUUUGGCUCAACAAACUGUAACUAGUGACCAAUGGCUGUUUUUCAUGUUCAAAA